AUGGCUGCGUCUUCCUGUCACUGUGCUCCCCCACGGCCCACCCCGGCACAUUGUGCAGCACUACAUUCUGUGAGUCUCUUCCAUUUCACAGCAAAAUUUCUAAUGAUAAGGUUACACUGUGCAAUUAUGAUAUCUAAAUUCCAAUUUAAAAUAAUUGGUAUUUUCUAUCCCCCCCAGGGGGCGGGGCGCACAAGCUCCCAGAAACAAGAGAUCGUGGUAUAUUUUCGCCAGUCCUCCCCGGAGGACCUCAGCCUGGCUCCUGGGAGACAGGAGAUGGGACUCCCGAGCAACCAUCCAGCUUGUGUUGUGCUGCGCGCCAUGAAUCACAUGGAGGAAGAACUUUGGGGACACCUGGGUGGCUCAGUGGUUGAGUGUCUGCCUUCGGCUCAGGUCAUGAUCCCAGAGUUCCUGGAUCGAGUCCCACAGCAGGCUCCUUGCAGGCAGCCUGCUUCUGUCUCUGCCUCUCUCUGUGUCUCUCAUGAAUAAAUUAAAUAAAAUC
rnacentral:lncRNA from 1 species